rnacentral:rRNA from 1 species
AUUGAACGCUGGCGGCAUGUUUUACACAUGCAAGUCGAACGGAUUUUGGAGCUUGCUCCAGAGUUAGUGGCGAACGGGUGAGUAAUAUAUCGGAACGUACCCGGCAAUGGGGGAUAACGUAGCGAAAGUUACGCUAAUACCGCAUAUGCCCUGAGGGGGAAAGCAGGGGACCAGUAAUGGCCUUGCGUUGUCGGACCGGCGGAUAUCGGGUUAGCUAGUUGGUGAGGUAAAGGCUCACCAAGGCGACGAUCCGUAGCGGGUCUGAGAGGAUGAUCCGCCACACUGGGACUGAGACACGGCCCAGACUCCUACGGGAGGCAGCAGUGGGGAAUUUUGGACAAUGGGCGAAAGCCUGAUCCAGCCAUGCCGCGUGAGUGAAGAAGGCCUUCGGGUUGUAAAGCUCUUUCAGGUGGAAAGAAAAGGUUACGGAUAAUACCUGUAACUGAUGACGGUACCAUCAGAGGAAGCACCGGCUAACUACGUGCCAGCAGCCGCCGUAAGAC